CACCAGGUUGAUUCUGCCUGACGUGGAUGCUAGUCCCUGAGGUUAAGCCAUGCAUGGUCUGUGAAGCGACUUGGUUGCGGAUGGAUAGACGGCUCAGUAAUACUGCGAUGAUUUGAUUGCUUGCGGCGCGUAGCUACGGGAAACUGUAGGUAGGCGGCGGUAGUGUCGCGGUGGGCCGUGACACGUGGCGAGUAAGUUGCAGGCCUAUCAACUGGUAGUUAGGGUAAUGGCCUAACUAGGUGGCGACGGGAGACGGGGGAUCGGGGUUUGAUUCCGGAGAGGGAGCCUGAGAGAUGGCUACUACGUCCAAGGAUGGCAGCAGGCGCGAAACUUGCCCAAUCUACGGUUAGGAGGCAGUUAGGGGACGUGUAAUGUGGCGCAUUGCAAAGAGAUGUGCCGGUAUCGGAGGGCAAGUCGGGUGCCAGCAGCCGCGGUAAUACCUGCUCCGAGAGUGUCUACGACGAAUGCUGCAGUUAAAGGGUCCGUAGUCGUGUGCAGCCACUAUGUUCUGUGGAGCGCGCGGUAGCGGCGGGCUGUGGACGUAGUGGGGCGCGGGCGCAACGGACGAGGGGCACUGGAUAGUUGGGCGAGAGGUGAAAUGUGAUGACCCUGACUGGACGGACGGAAGCGAAGGCGGUGCUCUUGGACGGGUGUGUGGAUCAAGGACGAAGGCUGGAGGAUCGAAAUCGAUUAGAUACCGUUUUAGUUCCAGCAGUAAACGAUGCCGACUGCAUGACACGGGGUGUUGUGCGCGAGAAAUCAUUGAGUAUGUGGGCUCUGGGGAUAGUAUGUUCGCAAGAGUGAAACUUAAAGAGAUU
rnacentral:rRNA from 1 species